rnacentral:lncRNA from 1 species
CAGGAGUGAUAAGCGUGAACUAGAGAGUGCUGUGCAGGAGGAAGCUGGGGCCGCCGUCGGGCCUUCUCCCUCCAGGGGCCCAAGAGCCACUGGUACUCAGUGUCUGGGUGGGGGCAGGGGGGAUUUUUGUUCUCCCAGCACCUGCGGCUGUUGAGACCAGAGAAGCUGGUGGUCGACCACAGCCUGGGGUAUUAGUUCACCCCUAGCUUCUCCCCAGCGAGACCCCAGGGCCCUUGGGCACAGGGGAUUAAGCCUCUAUCUGCUUACGUGCAAGCGGAAGAAAUAGGCCCAGAGAGCAACAGUGGCGGGUCUGCAGUCACACAGCCAACUUGCGCUUGUGGCAGUGGCAAGGUUGGUGAGUAUCUGAGUCUUCAGGCCACGGCAUUUUCCGCUCGAGUGGAGCCUGAAGUUCUGAGGGUACCCCUCACUCAAGCUCCAGGCGUCAGGAAAAGAACAUUCCACGAAGUCCAUCUGGAAGACGGUCCUUUCCCUGCUGCCCCCAGGUGGAUGCCAACUUGGGCUGGGGCCAUCUCCAAGGUGUCCUCCCUCUCACGGCCUGUGCCUGGGCUGGGAAGAUGUGAGCAGAGGUGAACUUUACAGCUUCUAGAACAUUCCCUGGAACACAGCAAGUGUUCAGUAUUGUUCAUGGAGUGACAGAUGUCUCAGCCAAGAAGGUACAAUCACAGGGAAGAAUGACUUCAACUGGUCUUGACUUCAACCUGCUUCCAGCCUGGUUCCCUUCUCCCACCUCCCUACAGCCCACAGAAGAUCUUUUCCAAACUGGAAGUCUGUCCAGGUCAUUCUUCUGCUCUAAGGCUUUCAGUAGCUCCCCCUUAUCCCCAGGAGGAAGUCCAAAUGCCUUAACAAGUGUCAAGGAACACUUGGUGAGCCCUGCUUUCCUUGCUAGUCACUCGUGCACAGCUGAGUCUUUCCCCAGAGUGGAUGUCAUUCAUGCUGUUCCCAUUGCCUGGAUUCCUGCUCCUCUCCACCCCAUUCAACUGAUAAACUCGUGGUUUUUUUUUUUUUUUUUUUUUUUUU